AACGGCAUGUCAAGUUGUGCUCACAAUUUGUGGAGGUUAAUGAGGGGGUGCGGAAGUGGGGAGAAAAAUAGCAUUCUAUAAAAUUGUACCUUAGAGUAAUAGCCUAAUUGAACUGAAAAUAAAAAAAUGGUUUGGGCAUCAUGAUUCAUCUUUAUUCCAACUCGUUUUCUUGUGGCACUCCUUUUGGUGGACCUGUCUUGGACACCAGGAGGGGGCUGCCUUUUUGCUUGACUUGCUGUCAACUGAAAAUGACAUCACCGUGUCAAGGAGCUCAGCUUGCGAACGUCACAUGAUGAGACCCAGAAAACAGGGAUGCAUAGCUGGGUUGCAAGUGAAAGGAAAAACACCACAUGGGCCAAAAGAAGCUGCCAGAAAAGCUUCAGAGCAUCAAUACACACUGGAAUUGCGUCGACAAACCCUGAAGAAAUAUAUGAGACAGCUCUAAGACAUUUCAAACAUCCGAACUACAGCAGAGGAAAAGAAGCCUUCCCAUAAUGCCCCGGAAGAAAAUAAUUAAUUCCAUCCAGAUGCCAUUUUUUCAAUCGGUGAAAUGACAUGGAAGAGAUUGCUUCGGCUUUUUCCACACAGAAG